UAUUGGGCAAUGGGGGAAACCCUGACCCAGCAACGCCGCGUGAAGGACGAAGGCCUUCGGGUUGUAAACUUCUUUGAUCAGGGACGAAACAAAUGACGGUACCUGAAGAACAAGCCACGUCUAACUACGUGCCAGCAGCCGCGGUAAUACGUAGGUGGCGAGCGUUAUCCGGGUUUACUGGGUGUAAAGGGCGUGUAGGCGGGUUUGCAAGUCGGGUGUGAAAUAUCCAGGCUUAACUGGGAUGGGUCAUCCGAAACUGCAGAUCUUGAGUGCUGGAGAGGAUAGUGGAAUUCCUGGUGUAGCGGUAAAAUGCGUAGAUAUCAGGAGGAACACCAGUGGCGAAGGCGGCUAUCUGGACAGUAACUGACGCUGAGGCGCGAAAGCGUGGGUAGCAAACAGG
rnacentral:rRNA from 1 species